rnacentral:rRNA from 1 species
UACGUAGGUCCCGAGCGUUGUCCGGAUUUAUUGGGCGUAAAGCGAGCGCAGGUGGUUUAUUAAGUCUGGUGUAAGAGGCAGUGGCUCAACCAUUGUAUGCAUUGGAAACUGGUAGACAUGAGUGCAGGAGAGGAGAGUGGAAUUCCAUGUGUAGCGGUGAAAUGCGUAGAUAUAUGGAGGAACACCGGUGGCGAAAGCGGCUCUCUGGCCUGUAACUGACACUGAGGCUCGAAAGCGUGGGGAGCAAACAGG